rnacentral:rRNA from 1 species
UGGGGAAUUUUGGACAAUGGGGGAAACCCUGAUCCAGCCAUCCCGCGUGUGCGAUGAAGGCCUUCGGGUUGUAAAGCACUUUUGGCAGGAAAGAAACGUCGCGGGUUAAUACCCCGCGAAACUGACGGUACCUGCAGAAUAAGCACCGGCUAACUACGUGCCAGCAGCCGCGGUAAUACGUAGGGUGCAAGCGUUAAUCGGAAUUACUGGGCGUAAAGCGUGCGCAGGCGGUUCGGAAAGAAAGAUGUGAAAUCCCAGAGCUUAACUUUGGAACUGCAUUUUUAACUACCGGGCUAGGAGUGUGUCAGAGGGAGGUGGAAUUCCGCGUGUAGCAGUGAAAUGCGUAGAUAUGCGGAGGAACACCGAUGGCGAAGGCAGCCUCCUGGGAUAACACUGACGCUCAUGCACGAAAGCGUGGGGAGCAAACAGGAUUAGAUACCCUGGUAGUCCACGCCCUAAACGAUGUCAACUAGCUGUUGGGGCCUUCGGGCCUUGGUAGCGCAGCUAACGCAUGAAGUUGACCGCCUGGGGAGUACGGUCGC